CUCAACUAGAGGAACAGCCUGAUGAAGUCUCCUAGUCCCGCACUGCUUGCUGCUGCGAGCGCUGUCCUUGCGCAAUAUAGGGUCCGCUGGAAUUGAAGCCGCAGCCGCUGCAACGGACGCCUGCGCGCAGAUUGGCUACCUGUUAUGUCCUGACAACGAGCGCCGACGACUACUGCAAC
rnacentral:sRNA from 1 species